UGAUUUUUUCUAUAUUUUGUCAA
rnacentral:snRNA from 1 species